GCGGACGUUCUUAAAGACCUAGCCCUUCAACCGCCGCAUCCGCUUCUAGACGCCCUACUCCGGCAUCUGCUUCUACCGGCGCCGCGACCGAUAGAGCCCCCUGAGCGGCUCCUCCUACUCCUACCCCGCCCUCUUGCGCAUCUCCUGCCGCUCGCCCUACGGCCACCGGUACUCGUCCUGUCACCUCGCAACGUACAUCUACGGGUCGUACAGCUUGAACAAGCGCGGCAUGCGGACGGGCGUAUCUCAGAGGUGGCGCGAGGGGUACGGUUC
rnacentral:rRNA from 1 species